CUACUCCCACCUCCAUCGUGCUCCACCCCCAUCAGUCAACAUUCAUUUGACAAACAAAAGAGUCCAGCUGCCUCUGAGCCAAUCCUAGAGCUGCAAUAGGCUCGAAUGAGUCAGCUGUUGGAGCCCAAAGCUGUGCAGCCAGGCUUCCUGGUUGAGUAGGAAAGCCAAUAUCCAAGUCUGAUUGAAUCAGGUUUACACCUAGGGAAGCUCUAGUUUGGAGGAUGAAAGAAAGAAAUUUUGCUUUCCCUGAGCACUUAUCUUAGUGACAGGAUC
rnacentral:lncRNA from 1 species